GUGUGUGUGUGUGUCAGGUUGUGUUAGAGACGGUCUAGUAAAUCUCUAGAAAUCCUCUGAUGUUGUUCCAGACUGGGAGGAUGGAGAGACCGAAAGAGGGCAGGACAGACUGUGAUGUUAUCUCUGUUGGUCCUCUAGGUAGCAGGACAGACUGUGAUGUUAUCUCUGUUGGUCCUCUAGGUAGCAGGACAGACUGUGGUGUUAUCUCUGUUGGUCCUCUAGGUAGCAGGACAGACUGUGGUGUUAUCUCUGUUGGUCCUCUAGGUAGCAGGACAGACUGUGAUGUUAUCUCUGGUCCUCUAGGUAGCAGGACAGACUGUGGUGUUAUCUCUGUUGGUCCUCUAGGUAGCAGGACAGACU